rnacentral:rRNA from 1 species
UGGGGAAUAUUGCACAAUGGGCGGAAGCCUGAUGCAGCAACGCCGCGUGCGGGAUGACGGCCUUCGGGUUGUAAACCGCUUUCACCUGUGACGAAGCGUGAGUGACGGUAAUGGGUAAAGAAGCACCGGCUAACUACGUGCCAGCAGCCGCGGUGCUACGUAGGGGGCGAGCGUUGUCCGGAUUUAUUGGGCGGAAAGGGCUCGUAGGUGGUUGAUCGCGUCGGAAGUGUAAUCUUGGGGCUUAACCCUGGGCGUGCUUUCGAUACGGGUUGACUUGAGGAAGGUAGGGGAGAAUGGAAUUCCUGGUGGGGCGGUGGAAUGCGCAGAUAUCAGGAGGAACACCAGUGGCGAAGGCGGUUCUCUGGGCCUUUCCUGACGCUGAGGAGCGAAAGCGUGGGGAGCGAACA